AUUGAACGCUGGCGGCAUGCUUUACACAUGCCAGUCGAACGGUAACAGGCCGCAGGGUGCUGACGAGUGGCGAACGGGUGAGUAAUGCAUCGGAACGUGCCCAGUCGUGGGGGAUAACUACUCGAAAGAGUAGCUAAUACCUCAUACGAUCUAUGGAUGAAAGCGGGGGACCGUAAGGCCUCGCGCGAUUGGAGCGGCCGAUGUCGGAUUAGGUAGUUGGUGGGGUAAAGGCUCACCAAGCCAACGAUCUGUAGCUGGUCUGAGAGGACAACCAGCCACACUGGGACUGAGACACGGCCCAGACUCCUACGGGAGGCAGCAGUGGGGAAUUUUGGACAAUGGGCGCAAGCCUGAUCCAGCAAUGCCGCGUGCAGGAAGAAGGCCUUCGGGUUGUAAACUGCUUUUGUACGGAACGAAACGGCUCUGGUUAAUACCCGGGGAUAAUGACGGUACCGUAAGAAUAAGCACCGGCUAACUACGUG
rnacentral:rRNA from 1 species